ensembl:snRNA U1 U1 spliceosomal RNA
AUACUUACCUGGCAGGGGAGAUACCAUGAUCACGAAGGUGGUUUUCCCAUGGCGAGGCUUAUCUGCUGCACUCCAGAUGUGCUGACCCCGGCAAUUUCCCCAAAUGUGGAAAACUCGACUGCAUCAUUUGUGGUAGUGGGACUGUGUUCAUGCGCUCUCCUUA